rnacentral:rRNA from 1 species
CCCUCGAGACUGGGAUAGCCGCCAGAAAUGGCGGGUAAUACCGGAUACGUCCUUCCGACUGCAUGGUUGGGAGGGGAAAGGUCUCGGCCGCUCGAGGAUGGGGCUGCGGCCCAUUAGCUAGUUGGUGAGGUAACGGCCCACCAAGGCGACGAUGGGUAGCCGGCCUGAGAGGGUGACCGGCCACACUGGGACUGAGACAUGGUCCAGACUCCUACGGGAGUUAGCAUCGAGGGAUAUUGCGCAAUGGGCGAAAGCCUGACGCAGUGACGCCGCGUGGGUGAUGAAGGCCUUCGGGUCGUAAAGCCCUGUCGGGUGGGAGGAAAGACUCGGGUCAUGCCGGGUUGUGACAGUACCACCCAAGAAAGCCACAGCUAACUACGUGCCAGCAGCUGCGGUAAUACGUAGGUGGCGAGCGUUGUCCGGAAUUACUGGGCGUAAAGGGCAUCUAGGCGGCCUGGUCAGUGGAAUGUAAAAGUUCGGGGCUCAACCUCGGAAAGCCGUUCCAAACUGCCAGGCUUGAGUGCGGGAGAGGGAAGUGGAACUCACAGUGUAGCGGUGAAAUGCAUAGAUAUUGUGAGGAACACCCGUGGCGAAGGCGGCUUCCUGGACCGCAACUGACGCUGAAGUGCGAAAGCCAGGGGAGCGAACGGGAUUAGAUACCCCGGUAGUCCUGGCCGUAAACGAUGACCACUAGGUGUUGGGAGCAUCGACCCUCUCAGUGCCGUAGCUAACGCAUUGAGU